CAGACACUGAGUAGAAGGAAAAGUAAAAAUUUUGAGUUAGAUUAGGCUAGAUCCAGAUCUCCAGGAAUACUGUGUCUGCCUAGAUCACUCUGGAUGCCAUCCUGUCCUUCAGGAGUAAACUAGACAAGGUGAUUGUGAUAAAAGCCUGUUUGGAAAAGGAAUGCAUUGCAAGUAACUGUAUAGAGAACAUCAGACAGAAGAAUGU